CAAGUAACUGAGAAGGGAGACUAUUACAGAGACAUUUCUGUCAAGACAGUAUUUGCCUUCCCCUUUGUAGGACGCUGAGUUUUGAUUCAGCAGGAACACCAUGUUCCCAGAUCUUUUCCUUCUUAAUCAUCAGUCUAAACUAAACACAUGGCUAGAGCACUGGGAUCCCUACAGACUCCGUAUGUGCUGGGAUUCCAAGGAGAAAUCUGGCAUAAAUGAGGAGAACAGGGCAUGAGCGCAUGUGUUGGUCCUGUGAAGAUCAUACCCAACCUUAAGCCAAGAAGGUUAGACUAGUUUUAGGGUACAGCUAAGCUGAGGAGUGAGGGAUGAAACACAGAGCUUCUUGAAAAUGCUCACUUGCUGGUUAUGGAGAAGGAAGGCAACUGAAAGAAAGGAAGAUAAGCUCCCAUCUAUUCCUUAUACUUGGAAGGUGGGGCACAGAAGAGCAAACUGAAGAACAACUGCUUUGAUCAGGGAAAGAAAACACACAUGGAAGCCCAAGCCUCACACGACAUCUGCCCUCAUCUCCAGCUGGGCAAACUCCCCUUUGUGUUACAAGAAGAGCCAGUUACAAAGUGUCUUCAAAGUUGAGCAAGAACUGACAAAACACACUGAAAGAAUAUGGGCGGAGAUGGCUGAUGACUGACUGUUUCUCUCUGUGGCAUUUAUUUAAACAGAGGACAAAUAUAAUUUUUGCAGAAGCAAUGCAGAUACUGAUCUCACAGCUCCAGCAAUAUGACCCAGCAUCGUGCUGACCUUGAAGGAGAAAGAUAUGUCCUGAAGAAUUUUGGUCAAAGGAGUUUAUGGUUACGAAUUGCAUUUCAGCAAAACCAUUAUUCAUUACAAUUUCUUGUUUUUAACUAAAUCUGCACAAAUAAUAUUUUAAAAAAAUCCACUUCCAAAGCUGCCAUUAAACUCCUGAGAAUUCUGCUUUUCCAUGAUUUCAACUGAAGUCUGCUCAUACUGCUAGAGAGGAACAGUUACUGAAUUUCCAUGCUGAGUUUGCUGCUGCCAACAUGUUUGGUCAUGUAAACAAGUUCACUGAAAAGUCACUCAUGCUAAAAAGAAAAACAGAUUCACAACGAGGGAUCUGCAGGCCAAAAAUGCAGGGUUUGGUCAGAUGGUCUAAAAAAUAGUAAAAAAUGAAAAAUCCUCUCAGAGAGUCAUUCACUGGAGAUAUGCACUGUUCCUCUUUCUUCCGUCUAUAUAGAUAUUCCAGGAGAAUCAUCUGACCACCUGAGAGAGUGACAGCUCCAUCCUCACAAGAGGAGGUUGCAAUGACACUCUUGCUUUUCUUUUUAAUUUCUGCUGAUUAACUCUAUGAUGCUUAUGUGAAGCAAGUCAGUAAUACCAAAGAAUGGGUUUAGAGAGAUUUAGUUAUUGUCCCUUCUGAGAUUCCCAGUUUCCAGGCUGUACCUAUCUUGUUUUAGACUGUGAAGGAUGUGCAGCAGGGAAUAUCUGUAUUGAGACUUUCCUGAAGCAUAACUUUCUUUUACUAAAGAAACACUGAAAGAACACAGUUCACAUUAGGCCUUUUCCCAAAUUCAAAGGAUCCCAACUUUUUUUGUGUAUAAACCAAGAGGAAGGUUUUGGGGGGGGGAAGGGACGGGACAGGAUAUUGUUUAAGAUGUGCAGAAUCUAAGCUUUCAUUUUAAAAAAUAAGGAGUUUGUAUAUGUAUGUGUCUGCUUCUUAGGAACCUCUUCCCUGUGUCCUGUUAGAG